rnacentral:tRNA from 1 species
GGUCAGAUGGCCGAGUGGUCUAAGGCGCUGCGUUUAGGUCCGUUCUAAACAUCCUCCGCAGUCUUCACGGGCGUGGGUUCGAAUCCCACUCUGAUCA